rfam:Ictidomys tridecemlineatus contig076149, whole genome shotgun sequence.
GAGGUUGUGGCUCAGUGGUAGAGUGCUUGCCUAGCAGGCAUGAGGCAUUGGGUUCAAUCCUCAGCACCUCA